rnacentral:rRNA from 1 species
AGUUUGAUCAUGGCUCAGAUUGAACGCUGGCGGCAUGCGUAACACAUGCAAGUCGAACGGUGUUUGGUGCUUGCACCAGACAUAGUGGCGGACGGGUGAGUAAUGCGUAGGAAUCUGUCUUAGAGAGGGGGACAACCCGAGGAAACUUGGGCUAAAACCGCAUAUUCUCGAGAGAGGAAAGCAGGGGACCGGAAACGGCCUUGUGCUCUAAGGUGAGCCUACAUCGGAUUAGCUAGUUGGUAGGGUAAAAGCCUACCAAGGCGAUGAUCUGUAGCUGGUCUGAGAGGACGGACAGCCACACUGGGACUGAGACACGGCCCAGACUCCUACGGGAGGCAGCAGUGGGGAAUAUUGGACAAUGGGGGGAACCCUGAUCCAGCGAUGCCGCGUGUGUGAAGAAGGCCUGCGGGUUGUAAAGCACUUUCAGUGGGAAAGAGAAGCGUCUUGUGAAUAAUGGGACGUGGAGACGUUACUCACAGAAGAAGCACCGGCUAACUCUGUG